ACUGGGACUGAGACACGGCCCAGACUCCUACGGGAGGCAGCAGUGGGGAAUUUUGGACAAUGGGCGCAAGCCUGAUCCAGCCAUGCCGCGUGUCUGAAGAAGGCCUUCGGGUUGUAAAGGACUUUUGUCAGGGAAGAAAAGGAUAGGGUUAAUACCCCUGUUUGAUGACGGUACCUGAAGAAUAAGCACCGGCUAACUACGUGCCAGCAGCCGCGGUAAUACGUAGGGUGCGAGCGUUAAUCGGAAUUACUGGGCGUAAAGCGAGCGCAGACGGUUACUUAAGCAGGAUGUGAAAUCCCCGGGCUCAACCUGGGAACUGCGUUCUGAACUGGGUGACUAGAGUGUGUCAGAGGGAGGUAGAAUUCCACGUGUAGCAGUGAAAUGCGUAGAGAUGUGGAGGAAUACCGAUGGCGAAGGCAGCCUCCUGGGAUAACACUGACGUUCAUGCUCGAAAGCGUGGGUAGCAAACAGGAUUAGAUACCCUGGUAGUCCACGCCCUAAACGAUGUCAAUUAGCUGUUGGGCAACUUGAUUGCUUAGUAGCGUAGCUAACGCGUGAAAUUGACCGCCUGGGGAGUACGGUCGCAAGAUUAAAACUCAAAGGAAUUGACGGGGACCCGCACAAGCGGUGGAUGAUGUGGAUUAAUUCGAUGCAACGCGAAGAACCUUACCUGGUCUUGACAUGUACGGAAUCCUCCAGAGACGGAGGAGUGCCUUCGGGAGCCGUAACACAGGUGCUGCAUGGCUGUCGUCAGCUCGUGUCGUGAGAUGUUGGGUUAAGUCCCGCAACGAGCGCAACCCUUGUCAUUAGUUGCCAUCAUUUAGUUGGGCACUCUAAUGAGACUGCCGGUGACAAGCCGGAGGAAGGUGGGGAUGACGUCAAGUCCUCAUGGCCCUUAUGACCAGGGCUUCACACGUCAUACAAUGGUCGGUACAGAGGGUAGCCAAGCCGCGAGGUGGAGCCAAUCUCACAAAACCGAUCGUAGUCCGGAUUGCACUCUGCAACUCGAGUGCAUGAAGUCGGAAUCGCUAGUAAUCGCAGGUCAGCAUACUGCGGUGAAUACGUUCCCGGGUCUUGUACACACCGCCCGUCACACCAUGGGAGUGGGGGAUACCAGAAGUAGGUAGGGUAACCGCAAGGAGCCCGCUUACCACGGUAUGCUUCAUGACUGGGGUGAAGUCGUAACAAGGUAGCCGUAGGGGAACCUGCGGCUG
rnacentral:rRNA from 1 species